rnacentral:rRNA from 1 species
UAGGGAAUCUUCCGCAAUGGACGAAAGUCUGACGGAGCAACGCCGCGUGAGUGAUGAAGGUUUUCGGAUCGUAAAGCUCUGUUGUUAGGGAAGAACAAGUAUCUGUUAAAUAAGCAGGUACCUUGACGGUACCUAACCAGAAAGCCACGGCUAACUACGUACCAGCAGCCGCGGUAAUACGUAGGUGGCAAGCGUUGUCCGGAAUUAUUGGGCGUAAAGCGCGCGCAGGCGGUUCCUUAAGUCUGAUGUGAAAGCCCACGGCUCAACCGUGGAGGGUCAUUGGAAACUGGGGAACUUGAGUGCAGAAGAGGAGAGCGGAAUUCCACGUGUAGCGGUGAAAUGCGUAGAGAUGUGGAGGAACACCAGUGGCGAAGGCGGCUCUCUGGUCUGUAACUGACGCUGAGGCGCGAAAGCGUGGGGAGCGAACAG